CACAGCCAAGCAGAGGGACGGUUUAAGCUGUCUCCGGUCCAGGGAUUGAGCGAGAGGGGAGGCUGGCAGGUCGGCACUGGAGAUGGGCAGCGCCGGAGGACUCUGCUCCAGUCCAAGGGCUUGGGGAUGUGGCUGGAAUGUCACCCGACUCCUGUGCUUUGCUGCCAUUAGCUGGGUGCUAGUGACUCAGGUGGAAGUGGGAGCCUGGACCUACCAUUAUGGUAACAAAUCUGAUUACUCCUGGGAGCUGGCCAGAAACUUUUGCAGGUCAUUCUACACUGACCUCGUAGCAAUCCAGAACCAGGGGGAAAUUGCUUAUCUCAACAGUGUCUUACCCCGCCAUAGAACAUACUACUGGAUUGGGCUACGAAAAAUAAACAAUGUCUGGACGUGGGUUGGCACCAACAAGGCCCUGACGAAGGAGGCUGAGAACUGGGCUAACAAGGAACCCAACAAUAAAGGGAGGAACCUAGACUGUGUGGAGAUUUACAUAAAGAGGGAUCGUGAUGGUGGAAGAUGGAACGAUGAGAACUCUCAAAAGAAAAAGAAGGCGCUGUGUUACCAAGUGUCUUGCCAGCGUUCCUCCUGCAGCCAGCGUGGCGAGUGCGUGGAGACCAUCGGGAACUACACCUGUGAUUGCUACCCUGGUUUCUACGGGCCUGAGUGUGAACACGAAAUUACCGACCUGAUGGUGAAUCAAACCCCAACCAGUGUCACUGAUUUCGAAGGCUCAGAACUUACCAUGAAUUGUACAUUCAAGACAGUCAAUAAUCACAGCACCAUGUAUGUGCGAUGGUAUAACUAUGGGACGGAGGCACUAAAGACAGAGCUGGUGAAUGACAGCGAUGUGAUCACAACCCUGCAUUUGGACAAUGGGUUUGCCUCUCUCACUUUGAAGAAUGGGAAUUCAUCUAAUACAGGAACCUACCUGUGUGAGGUGGGGAUCACAGCAAGGAGCCUGUCUGUGUCAGGAGCCGGAACCCAGGUGACCAUCAAUAAAGGGAGUGUGACGGGUUGGGUCACAGAAAAUCCCUCAAGGCUGUCACUAGGUGUGCUGGGAUACCACUGAGAAGAACCACUUCCUCCCCCGCCAGACCUGGUUUCCCUCCACUCCUGUAUUGCUGAGUUAGACACACCAGUCGGCUCCAGCAGAGACCAAGAGCUGCUGUCAAUCAGACAAUAUGAGGAUCAGCUGUUAUAGCGUACCCUUGGAGAUGGAGCUCUCAGACACCUGUUACCCAGGCAUUCCCCCCAGCACUGUGUUGACCAUCGUGCCUGCCAGAUUCUGCACCUGCAAAUAAACCUUGAACUGAACGGAAGGGAGGGGAGGGGAGGGGAUGCUGGAUAAUUGGAAGGGAGUUCACAGGUGUUCAGAAUAAAAAGACUCCUCUCUGACACCCCUUUUUGAGGCAGCAGAACCCGGUGAUUGCUGAUGGCUUAGGCAGUCUCAGUGGCAUGCGACCCAUAGGAAAAUAUGAGACAAACAUUUCUGUCACCUAAAGUUUCCCCAUUGUGCUACCUAGCAAUCACUUUAGAGCAGGGGAGCAGAAACUAUGGCCCGCGGGCCGGAUCCGACCCGUCAGGGCUUUCAAUCCGGCCCGCAGGAUUGCCAGCCCCAUCGCGCAGCAGGGCUAAGGCAGGCUUCCUACCUGCCCUGGUCCUGCGCCGCUCCCGGAAGCAGCCGGCAUCACUUUGCUGCAGCCCAUGGUGGGGAGGGGGCAGAGGGCUCUGUGCGCUGCCCUCGCUUGCAGACACCGCCCACAGACACCGGGGAACCAUGGCCAAUGGGAGCUUCGUGGGUCGUACCCACAGGCAAGGGCAGCGCGUGGCGGAGUCGCCUGCCCCACCCCACCCCCAGGAGCCACUGCCAGACAUGCCGGCUGCUUCUGGGAGCGGCACAGGGCCAGGGCA